CCGCUUGGAAGCCGGCCGGUAAGCGCCUAUAUUGGCCGUGCCGGGGCUUGCUCCGGAUAUGGCGAUAAACGCGCCUGUAAUAAGCGGACCGGACCCGGGUGCGAUUCCCGGCGGCUCCACCAUCUUCCCCGCGUUAUCGGCGGAGGCUUAUGGGGCCGACUAGCAUCGACGGACGUGUAAAGAGGAUUGCUUUCGCUCGUCCUGGCCCACCGUAUCGGGCCAUUUUCUAACUGCGAACGAUAACUUCGCUGAGGAAUACGCUGUCGCCGCGUAAUGCGGUUCCAGUAAUUCCAACCUAACUCCUGGGGGUUCAGAUCUCCAGGCGGGGCCCGGGCGGCGCCUGGCAACAGAAGCCGCCCACC
rnacentral:tmRNA from 1 species